UAUUGGUCAAUGGGCGGGAGCCUGAACCAGCCAAGCCGCGUGAGGGAAAACGGUCCUACGGAUUGUAAACCUCUUUUGCCGGGGAGCANNGGGGUACUUGCGAGGGCCCAAUGAGAGUACACGGAGAAAAAGCAUCGGCUAACUCAGUGCCAGCAGCCGCGGUAAUACGGAGGAUGCGAGCGUUAUCCGGAUUUAUUGGGUUUAAAGGGUGCGUAGGCGGGAUGCCAAGUCAGCGGUCAAAUACGGGGGCUCAACCUGCGUCCGCCGUUGAAACUGGCGUUCUUGAGUGGGCGAGAAGUACGCGGAAUGCGUGGCGUAGCGGUGAAAUGCAUAGAUAUCACGCAGAACCCCGAUUGCGAAGGCAGCGUACCGGCGCCCUACUGACGCUGAAGCACGAAAGCGUGGGUAUCGAACAGG
rnacentral:rRNA from 1 species